GCGGAAAGGACUUGAUGAGGCGUUUGGGUUAUGGAUUUGCGUUUUGAGGAUAUGGGCGCAGAAGCCACGAAAAGUUUAUUUAGUUGUUGAAAUGCUCUGUCUUGCUUUAGAUUAUUACUUGUUGUACCUCGCCUUUAUCUUGAUAUAUUCUGUAAGAGGGAUAUGAAUUGUAUUGGUUAA